UACGUAGGUGGCAAGCGUUGUCCGGAUUUACUGGGCGUAAAGAGCGCGCAGGCGGUCGUUCAAGUCGCGUGUGAAAGCCCCCGGCUCAACUGGGGAGGGUCACGCGAUACUGAUCGACUCGAAGGCAGGAGAGGGUAGUGGAAUUCCCGGUGUAGUGGUGAAAUGCGUAGAUAUCGGGAGGAACACCAGUGGCGAAGGCGGCUUACUGGUCCGGUUCUGACGCUGAGGCGCGAAAGCGUGGGGAGCAAACAGG
rnacentral:rRNA from 1 species